rnacentral:rRNA from 1 species
UACGUAGGGUGCAAGCGUUAAUCGGAAUUACUGGGCGUAAAGCGUGCGCAGGCGGUGAUGUAAGACAGAUGUGAAAUCCCCGGGCUCAACCUGGGAACUGCAUUUGUGACUGCAUCGCUGGAGUACGGCAGAGGGGGAUGGAAUUCCGCGUGUAGCAGUGAAAUGCGUAGAUAUGCGGAGGAACACCGAUGGCGAAGGCAAUCCCUGGGCCUGUACUGACGCUCAUGCACGAAAGCGUGGGGAGCAAACAGG